CACAUUCUCGGCGCUGUGUAUGUGAACUCGUCUCGUCCUUGUCCUUUGCGCUGUUGUAAAAGAAUUUCUUUAAGUCUUGUUUUACAUGCAGAGUGACCCACCGGUGGGACACGCGGCUAUGCCUCUUUCUUUUACUCCAAAGAGAUGGUGCUGCUAUCUUUGCGGCUGCUGUUUGGCACAUUUAUUUGAAAGAUGCUACAAACUUAUACUGAACUACAAAGUGCUUGCCAGCAGAAAAGACAAGAAGUCAGUUCCAGUGACAGAAAUAUUUAUUAGUUAGACAAAAGGUAAAAUUUAGUAGGAACAUUAACCAUGUUUUGAAGUUUUCAUCCUACUCAUGAAGUGGAAGCUAGCUUACUUCUCAGCUUACUUGUGCUUAGAAUUAAAGCACAACAAGCAGAUGAAUGGCUUGCCAGAGCAUUAUCCACAGAAAGUGGUCACUUUUCUCGCUCUCACCCUAGUGUUGUUUGGACUGCUGCUGGUACUGUUGGCUGCAUAGCAGCCAGUGCAGUGCCACUGAGUCACGUGCCGAUGUGCCAGUUUUUUUGUGCAUGUGGGCACUCCUUCUCCCACAAGUUUCUUCGACAUUGUCUUAAUGAGUGUCGAACAGUGAAUGAGCCAGUUCUUGAAAUUUUAUAAUUGGCGUAGAGCUUCCUUCAAGCAGGCCACGAAUGUACCACACAUUUAUGAUGGCACUUUUAACAGCCAACUCAACAGCUACCUUUCUGUACCACUUGAGUCCUUUUCUAAGGCAGUUGUGGUAUGAAGCCAUUUGGUCGCUAUAGUCGACGCCUUUUUUUGCUGCUUUAUAAUCGAGAACGGCCUGAUAUUUCGUGAUUGGUGUGCCGUCCCUUGUUUUCUUCCCGCUGUCCACCAAUGUUGCUCUAUAUUUGGCGACAGAUGUGAGUAUUAGAACGGGCCCGGGCCUUUUGUCUAUCUACUUCAGUACCUUCACUCUAUCUUUGGACUGAAGUCUGGUCACACUGUCUUUCGCAACCUUUACUUCAGGGACAUCUUUUGACAGCCCUUUCCUUGCUGAGCGAACUGUGCUGCAAAUGAAAGUGUCUUCCUUUAGAAGGUGAAGAGUGAGCAGCAAGCUCAUGUAGAAGUUUACGUAUAGUGGGCACCCGACUCCCUUGUUUUUUGCAUGAGUUUCAAACAUACAUCUUCGGCGUUUCCAACACCAACUUGUCAGUCACACUUUCCAGCAUAUGCAUCAACCUUUAGCGUGUAAUCGUCUUUUGUACAUGCUUUGAAGAGCCUGACUCUGUACUUGCUUUUUGUGGAAUGUACUGUCUGAACGAAAGUUGGCCACGCCUUGGCACUAUUGUUUCAUCUAUCACGACUUCCUUUCCCAGCUCAAGCACAGGGGCAAAAAUUUUCGUUCAAUUUCUCUACCAGAGGCCGAAUCUUAGAUAUGAUCCUGCAAGUCUGCAACCAGUUCAUUGUCCGCAAAAUGCCAGAACCUCAAAACUAGGAAAAAAGCAGUCAUGGCUCAUGUUUUGACGAAUGAGUUCAACACCAAAUAGGUCACUUUUUGCCCGUAGUGACUCGGAGUAGGAAGACAGGCGAGCCCAAUACAAAUCUGUAUUCCAACAAAUGCUUUCUUUUCUUGGACAUUGGUUUCCAUGCAAUUCUUCAACUGUGAUUUAGACUUUGGAGUAGGAAGACGGAGGAGACCAAUACAAAGCAGUAUUUGAAUAAAUGCUUUCAUUUCUUGGACACUGGUUUCCGUCCAAUUCUUCAACCAUGAUUUAGAUUUGGAAGUAGUUGACUCCAACACUUGUGUGAACCUGUUUGUUUCAUUGACCAUCAUUUGCCAGAUAUCAUUCGUAACAAACAGCGAGUAUAAAGACAGGGCAUCAUGGCUAGAUGACAACUAAUUAUAGUGGGCGGCCUAGAGUACGGCAUCACACUAGGCGAAGUGGUUGUUGCUGGUGUCCAUUUCUAUAGAAAUGGGCCGAGAGAAAUUAGAGUAUCGUAGCCUGAUUCAUCCGCCUCGUAAUCAUCAGUCAGGUCCUACUCUCCAUUCGACAUGCUGGCUGAGGUCUGUGACAGUUCGUAAAUACUGUCCUUGUCACUGCUUUCACUGUCUGUCCACUGCUGAACAUCUGACACUGAAGCACUUGACUCAUCAGCUGGUGAUCGCGAAGUUGCUGGUGCAUUCUUCCGGCCAAAACUAAGUUUAUUGUAUUUGUUUCCUCUGCAUUGUGCUUUUUUUGCAUCCGUAAAAAGCAUGAGCAUCUAUUAGACAUGCUGAAAAGUUUGGGAGUAGCAAGAAAAAUGCAGAGACUGCAGAUAAUGCAGGCACGUAUUUCAAGAACUGCAGCGAAAAGUUUGCAAGCAACCCAACUGAGAAAUGUGCUGCCACUGCACUCUUCGAAAAAAACGUGCCACAUGAUGUCAAAUGCAAUAAAAAGGUAUAUUAGUUGCAAUUUCGAACCUCCAACAGCAACUGAACUGAACUGAAUACAAGCGGGAGAAUUCUUGCGUGUGGGUCAUUGGUGGGUCAUGCUGCACACAGCGCAAAAACGUUUUCAUUCAGUACAUCGUGGAUCGCUGGUGGGUCAUAGCAUUUAACAUCAGGCGAGUAUUCUACUGGCUAUUUAUAACCUCACACAACGAAAAACAUGCAUACCUCUGCAUUCAAGUGUCAUAAAGUUAUCGCAGCAGCAAGCAGAUGAAUGCCCGCAAAUUUGCUGCCGCAUAGAAAGAGCACAGGCUGUGAUCUACCAGUGACCCACAAUGCAGUUAAAAUGUUAAUUAAAGCUACCUUAAUUAACUGUGCCUUAACCAAAUUUGCUCUAAUUAACACCAAAGAUUGUGGGUUUGAGUGCCUUAAUUAACCCUAUAUUAAUUAACUGUACCUUUCUUUUUUGCAUGAUUGGUGCCAUCGAUGUGGAAGAAGACGACAAACGCGCGAGCAGUAGCACGAGCGCUCUGAUUUUCUGUACGUCACAAAGCAACCUUGAAAUAUAGAGAUCUAAGGCUUUCGCCUCAAAGGGCCCCUCAUCAGUUCACCACAUUUUGAGUUGACAAGUGCACUGCAUACUAUGCGCGCUUACGAUCGUGUCUAAGUAUUGUAUCCCUAUGUGCCGCAGAAAGAGCUUAAAUUUCAAACCAAAUUGCCUUCUCCUCAUGGGGGCCACGCUGACAGCCGGACAGUUGACGUCAGUCGCACAAGUGCGCCUACGUACAUGGCAGUGCUGUGAUGUCACUCACAGUGACACGUGACUUAGAUAAUUAUUCAAGGCAGCAUCAGUUAUUUGUUGAAUCUGUUGCUUCAGUGAACCAAGUUUAGAGAAAUAAUGAAACAUACGAACCAAAUGUGUGGGUCAUGGAGGAAGGCAACUGAGAAGCCCUACCCCCUUCGCGCGCUAUGAGAAAAUUGUGGAGGAAAUGACGAAGUAGGUUCUCCUUUUUUUUUUGCACUUCUUUUAUUUCUUUGCCGUAGCAGCCACGCCUUUCGGGCCACAAUGGCGGCUUUGUUAUGGUUCUGUACGCUCACACGUGUUGCUCCGUAGGUUUUGUACCGCGGCAAAGGCGCCGUGCAGGCAGGUUUGUGUUGGUCUCCGUGUUUUGUUGCGCUGCGUUAUCUGGACCGUGCUCUCCCGGAUGUUGCUGGAGCCAGGUGAGACAGGAGGAACUAAAGUUCACGAAAUUAACAUGCAUUCAACGCUGUACGCAAUGUAGUGUGUCAGGACAAUGACAACGGACAGUUGACAGUCGGCGGAAAAUUUUGCCCUCUUUGGCGGAAAUUUGCUAACGUGCCAUCGCAGGCCGAAACCGAUGCGUUUCAGAAUCUGUACAAUGAACGCCUUGCAGGUCAGUGAUUCCUGCUUUUGACAGCGCAUAUGGUGCAUUUGCGGCACGUAGACAUACGUUAUGAAUGCAUAGUUCGUGUUCAGCAACAACUUGCUUUUGUGCAUAUUAAAACACAUGUUGCUUAACUGUUGCUUGUUCCUCGCAGUACUCGCGACAGCACGCAUUCGAGGUUCAGGCACACCUGCGCAGGUGUACCUCAAUACACGCGCUGAUAGAGCUUUACGCAGAACAUGUGCAUUAAUUUUGCUGCCCUUGGCACCGUGCGCCUGCCAGCAAUGUAGUGAGAAACUCUGUUAUGCUGCAGGCUGAAGCUUCAUCCUGGAAGAUGGGAAAGAAGCGGCUGCUUUUACUUAAGGAACGAAUCCCCCCUACUGCAGGCGUAUCUUAAUUAUAUGUGCGCGCGAGAAGCGUAGGGAAGUCGAGGUUAGCGGAUGCGCUAGCUGCAAGAGUCGGCAAUUGGCUCCACAGAACGUACACCUGCGAACACAUCAAACAGCUUCCAUGGUCGCAUGUAGGCCGGUUCUACGUGCAUACUGUUCUGCACCGUGCGCCGGCUAUCGCAAAACUUUGGUUCCGUGACGCUUCACUUAGCAUCACUUAGGUAAGAAAGCACCUCAGGCCGCAGUCAAUUAAUCUAAACGCGGAGUCAGAAAUGACAUUCUGCCUCCUCGCCGGCGCGCUGUCGUAGUGAUGCGCGGCCCCCCGAAGUUUGUUCAAUAAAGCACGACGAUUCCUCAAGCGAGAAUGUGUUUGUGCUCAUAAACUCCAAAUGGAUCGGGAAUGGGUCGGUGUGUCGUACAUGUCUCCAGUGCGUUCUUGCAGUGCAGUGAGAAUGCGUACUUUUUUUUUUUUUUCGUAUCGCCAAACGUCUAGCUCGCAAGACCGUCUGAGAGCCCCAAGAGGUUCAAGCAGAGAAAAGCAAGUAGAAGGCAGCGAUAAAGAGUCACGGCCUCUCGAUGGAAGCGCACAGAUGCGGCCUGCCGUAUGCGGCGGAGACGGCGUAGCUCGCCUAGUGUUCCGGGUCACCGCAGCGGCGCCACCAGAAGGGGAGAGCAGCCGGAGAUAUGCCGGAGCGUGACAGCGCAGCUCGCAUGCUCUCGCCGCUACUUAAAGGGCGAUAAUAAAUUGUUUAUAUUGUUAA